GAUGAACGCUGGCGGCGUGCCUAAUACAUGCAAGUCGAGCGAACAGACGAGGAGCUUGCUCCUCUGACGUUAGCGGCGGACGGGUGAGUAACACGUGGAUAACCUACCUAUAAGACUGGGAUAACUUCGGGAAACCGGAGCUAAUACCGGAUAAUAUAUUGAACCGCAUGGUUCAAUAGUGAAAGACGGUUUUGCUGUCACUUAUAGAUGGAUCCGCGCCGCAUUAGCUAGUUGGUAAGGUAACGGCUUACCAAGGCAACGAUGCGUAGCCGACCUGAGAGAGUGAUCGGCCACACUGGAACUGAGACACGGUCCAGACUCCUACGGGAGGCAGCAGUAGGGAAUCUUCCGCGAUGGGCGAAAGCUUGACGGAGCAACGCCGCGUGAGUGAUGAAGGUCUUCGGAUCGUAAAACUCUGUUAUUAGGGAAGAACAAAUGUGUAAGUAACUAUGCACGUCUUGACGGUACCUAAUCAGAAAGCCACGGCUAACUACGUG
rnacentral:rRNA from 1 species